UAGGGAAUCUUCCACAAUGGACGAAAGUCUGAUGGAGCAACGCCGCGUGAGUGAAGAAGGGUUUCGGCUCGUAAAGCUCUGUUGGUUAGUGAAGAAAGAUAGAGGUAGUAACUGGCCUUUAUUGACGGUAAUUACUUAGAAAGUCACGGCUAACUACGUGCC
rnacentral:rRNA from 1 species